rnacentral:rRNA from 1 species
UGCACAAUGGGCGAAAGCCUGAUGCAGCGACGCCGCGUGAUGGAUGAAGGCCUUCGGGUUGUAAACUUCUUUUAUCAGGGAAGAAGGAAGUGACGGUACCUGAUGAAUAAGCCCCGGCUAACUACGUGCCAGCAGCCGCGGUAAUACGUAGGGGGCGAGCGUUGUCCGAAUUUACUGGGCGUAAAGCGCGCGUAGGCGGACUUUUAAGUCGGUGGUGAAAUCUUGGGGCUUAACCCUGAAACUGCCGCCGAAACUGGGGGGAGUCUUGAGGUAUGGAGAGGGAAGUGGAAUUCCUGGUGUAGCGGUGAAAUGCGUAGAUAUCAGGAGGAACACCCGUGGCGAAGGCGGCUUCCUGGUCAUAUCCUGACGCUGAGGUGCGAAAGCCAGGGGAGCGAACGGGAUUAGAUACCCCGGUAGUCCUGGCCGUAAACGAUGGAUACUAGGUGUUAGUGGUAUCGACCCCACUAGUGCCGCAGCUAACGCAAUAAGCAUCCCGCCUGGGGAGUACGGCCGCAAGGUUG